UACGUAGGUGGCAAGCGUUGUCCGGAAUUACUGGGCGUAAAGCGUGCGCAGGCGGUUUUGUCAGUCUGACGUGAAAUCCCCGGGCUUAACCUGGGAAUUGCGUUGGAGACUGCAAGGCUAGAAUCUGGCAGAGGGGGGUAGAAUUCCACGUGUAGCAGUGAAAUGCGUAGAGAUGUGGAGGAACACCGAUGGCGAAGGCAGCCCCCUGGGUCAAGAUUGACGCUCAUGCACGAAAGCGUGGGGAGCAAACAGG
rnacentral:rRNA from 1 species